GACGAACGCUGGCGGCGUGCUUAACACAUGCAAGUCGAACGGAAAGGCCCCUUUGGGGGUACUCGAGUGGCGAACGGGUGAGUAACACGUGAGUAACCUGCCCUUGACUUCGGGAUAACUUCAGGAAACUGGGGCUAAUACCGGAUAGGAAUCCUUGCUGCAUGGUGGGGGUUGGAAAGCUUCGGCGGUUUUGGAUGGACUCGCGGCUUAUCAGCUUGUUGGUGGGGUAGUGGCUUACCAAGGCUUUGACGGGUAGCCGGCCUGAGAGGGCGACCGGCCACAUUGGGACUGAGAGACGGCCCAGACUCCGACGGGAGGCAGCAGUGGGGAAUAUUGCACAAUGGGCGGAAGUCUGAUGCAGCAACGCCGCGGGCGGGAUGACGGCCUUCGGGUUGUAAACCGCUUUCAGCAGGGGCGAAGCUUGUGGUGACGGUACCUGCAGAAGAAGCACCGGCUAACUACGUG
rnacentral:rRNA from 1 species